GGGAGUGUAGCUCAGUGGUAGAGUGUGUGUUUAGCAUGCACAAGGUCUUGGGUUCAAUCCCCAACAAUGCCU
rfam:Heterocephalus glaber contig58249, whole genome shotgun sequence.